rnacentral:misc_RNA from 1 species
GUGAAUCAUCAAAUCUUUGAACGCAAAUUGCACUCUCUUCGGAGAGUAUGCCUGUUUGAGGGUCAGUAUUAAUAAAAAUCGGUGUGUUGCUUCUUUGUGACGCUCCGGAGUUUGGGUCAUCUUAAUAUCCUUUAGGUUUUAAGAGGCUUAAAAUUGACUUUUUUUGCGCUUUUUAGUUGUCAAUAAUUUUUUUUUUUUUUCGUUUUUCUUUAAUCCCAAAUUUUAUUUAGUUGCG